GACGAACGCUGGCGGCGUGCUUAACACAUGCAAGUCGAACGGAAAGGCCCUGCUUUUGUGUGUUGCUCGAUUGGCGAACGGGUGAGUAACACGUGAGUAACCUGCCCUUGACUUUGGGAUAACUUCAGGAAACUGGGGCUCAUACCGGAUAUGAUCUCCUGCUGCAUGUUGUGGGUUGGAAAGUUUCGGCGGUUGUGGAUGGUCUCGCUGCUUAUCAGCUUGUUGGUGGGGUAGUUGCUUACCAAGGCUUUGACGGGUAGCCGGCCUGAGAGGGUUACCGGGCACAUGGGGACUGAGAUACGGCCCAGACGCCUAAGGGAGGCAGAAGGGGGGAAUAUGGCAGAAUGGGCGGAAGCCUGAUGCAGCAACGCCGCGUGCGGGAUGACGGCCUUCGGGGUGUAAACAGCUGUCGACGGAGACGAAGAGUGAGUGACGGUAAUGGGUAAAGAAGCACCGGCUAACUACGUG
rnacentral:rRNA from 1 species